rnacentral:rRNA from 1 species
GUACACUCCUGCGGGAGGCAGCAGUGGGGAAUAUUGCACAAUGGGCGCAAGCCUGAUGCAGCCAUGCCGCGUGUAUGAAGAAGGCCUUCGGGUUGUAAAGUACUUUCAGCGGGGAGGAAGGCGAUAAGGUUAAUAACCUUGUCGAUUGACGUUACCCGCAGAAGAAGCACCGGCUAACUCCGUGCCAGCAGCCGCGGUAAUACGGAGGGUGCAAGCGUUAAUCGGAAUUACUGGGCGUAAAGCGCACGCAGGCGGUCUGUCAAGUCGGAUGUGAAAUCCCCGGGCUCAACCUGGGAACUGCAUUCGAAACUGGCAGGCUAGAGUCUUGUAGAGGGGGGUAGAAUUCCAGGUGUAGCGGUGAAAUGCGUAGAGAUCUGGAGGAAUACCGGUGGCGAAGGCGGCCCCCUGGACAAAGACUGACGCUCAGGUGCGAAAGCGUGGGGAGCAAACAGGAUUAGAAACCCCUGUAGUCCCAUG